CCUACGGGUGGCAGCAGUGAGGAAUAUUGGUCAAUGGACGCGAGUCUGAACCAGUCAAGUAGCGUGAAGGAUGACUGCCCUAUGGGUUGUAAACUUCUUUUAUAUGGGAAUAAAAUGUUCCGCGUGAGUGUUUUCGUAUGUACCAUAUGAAUAAGGAUCGGCUAACUCCGUGCCAGCAGCGGCGGUAAUACGGGGGGUCCGAGCGUUAUCCGGAUUUAUUGGGUUUAAGGGGAGCGUAGGUGGAUUGUUAAGUCAGCGGUAAAAUUGCGGGGCUCACCCCCGCCGAGCCGUGGAAACUGGCAGACUUGAGUGGGCGAGAGGUAAGCGGAAUGCGCGGUGUAGCGGUGAAAUGCAUAGAUAUCGCGCAGAACUCCGAUUGCGAAGGCGGCGUACCGGCGCCAGACUGACGCUGAGGCACGAAAGCGUGGGGAUCGAACAGGAUUAGAUACCCCAGUAGUC
rnacentral:rRNA from 1 species